rnacentral:rRNA from 1 species
AAAUUGAAGAGUUUGAUCAUGGCUCAGAUUGAACGCUGGCGGCAGGCCUAACACAUGCAAGUCGAACGGUAGCACAGAGAGCUUGCUCUCGGGUGACGAGUGGCGGACGGGUGAGUAAUGUCUGGGAAACUGCCUGAUGGAGGGGGAUAACUACUGGAAACGGUAGCUAAUACCGCAUAACGUCGCGAGACCAAAGAGGGGGACCUUCGGGCCUCUUGCCAUCAGAUGUGCCCAGAUGGGAUUAGCUUGUUGGUGGGGUAACGGCCCACCAAGGCGACGAUCCCUAGCUGGUCUGAGAGGAUGACCAGCCACACUGGAACUGAGACACGGUCCAGACUCCUACGGGAGGCAGCAGUGGGGAAUAUUGCACAAUGGGCGCAAGCCUGAUGCAGCCAUGCCGCGUGUAUGAAGAAGGCCUUCGGGUUGUAAAGUACUUUCAGCGGGGAGGAAGGGAGUAAGGUUAAUAACCUUAUU